rnacentral:rRNA from 1 species
CGCCGAACCGUGCACAAGUCUCCUGGAAUGGAGCGUCAUAGAGGGUGAGAAUCCCGUCUUUGGCACGGACACMCGGGGCUUUUGUGAUGCGCUCUCGAAGAGUCNAGUUGUUUGKGAAUGCANCUCAAAAUGGGUGGUGAACUCCAUCUAAAGCUAAAUAUUGGCGAGAGACCGAUAGCGAACAANUACCGUGAGGGAAAGAUGAAAAGCNCUUUGGAAAGAGAGUGAAACAGUACRUGAAAUUGUUGAAAGGGAAACGCUUGAAGUCAGUCGCGUCGGCRGAGACUCAGCCUUGCCUCGGCUUGGUGUACUUCUCUGUCGACGGGUCAGCAUCAAUUUCGGGCCUUGGAUAAUGGCGAGGGAAAUGUGACACCUUUCUAGGUGUGUUAUAGUCUCUCGUCGGAUGCAAGGGUUGGGAUUGAGGAACUCANCACGCGCCCUCGGGCGGNCGGGGCUUUGCCCACGAUACGUGCUUAGGAUGUUGGCGUAAUGGCUUUAAACGACCCGUCUUGAAACACGGACCAAGGAGUCUAACAUGCCCGCGAGUGUUCGGGUGGAAAACUCGUGCGCGCAAUGAAAGUGAAAGUUGGGACCUCUGUCGUGGAGGGCACCGACGCCCGGACCAGACCUUCUGUGACGGAUCUGCGGUAGAGCGUGUAUGUUAGGACCCGAAAGAUGGUGAACUAUGCCUGAAUANGGUGAAGCCAGAGGAAACUCUGGUGGA